AAAACAAAGCAGGCGAUAAAAAACUACUUACUUAAUACCACACUUGUUCAAAUCAAAACGGAGCUAAUAGUUUACCAUUUAUAUUCAAAUCGUAAAGAAAUCAUAGUUGAUUUACGCUUGAAAUUCCCAGUAAAGUAUUUGGGCAAAAUGACUUCUUCCAUAGUCCUGUGCAUCGUUUCUUUGAUGAUCAUGAUCUGUCUGAAGAUUCGAUGCGCUAAACGGAUAACCAAUAGGGAUAAGGUGCAAACCAUGUCAGCUGAGAAUGAUUUUCCAUGGUUGCCGGACCCAGAGGUCGAGGAACUCGUUGUGGUGGGCUCAGGGUCGGGCCCCAUCGAUCACAAGCCCACGUACUGGAUGCUUCUGUAAGAGAGUCACAGUCGCGGCAGUCCUCUUGUCUGCGCAUAUGUUGCAGACCUACACACAAGUAAAUAUUAAUUGGAAAAUAUAAAGUACUUAUUUCAUA
rnacentral:sRNA from 1 species